rnacentral:rRNA from 1 species
AUUGAACGCUGGCGGCAUGCUUUACACAUGCAAGUCGAACGGUAACAGGUUAAGCUGACGAGUGGCGAACGGGUGAGUAAUGCAUCGGAACGUGCCCGAUCGUGGGGGAUAACGCAGCGAAAGCUGCGCUAAUACCGCAUACGAUCUGAGGAUGAAAGCGGGGGACCGUAAGGCCUCGCGCGAUCGGAGCGGCCGAUGUCAGAUUAGGUAGUUGGUGGGGUAAAGGCUCACCAAGCCGACGAUCUGUAGCUGGUCUGAGAGGACGACCAGCCACACUGGGACUGAGACACGGCCCAGACUCCUACGGGAGGCAGCAGUGGGGAAUUUUGGACAAUGGGCGAAGGCCUGAUCCAGCAAUGCCGCGUGCAGGAAGAAGGCCUUCGGGUUGUAAACUGCUUUUGUACGGAGCGAAAAGGCUCUCUCUAAUACAGGGGGCUCAUGACGGUACCGUAAGAAUAAGCACCGGCUAACUACGUGCCAGCCGCCGCAGUAAAAC